AAGAGGAGUGUCAAAAUCGGUAGAAGGCAGGACUGCUCCCCGACGAUUGGCAAGCUUCAGGCUGUCGGUAAGCUUUUGUCGUAGAGGCCAGCAAAAGGAGAGUAUGUGGGUAGAGCUUUAGAAAAUUUAUGGUGCCUUUUUACUCUGCUUGAGUGCAAAGAUCUUGUUAGAAAUCACUUUCUAUCCACUUUCCAUGAUGAGAGUAGCAAGAAGAAAGCUCUGGAUAGUGGGCCGUGGAGUUUCAACAAGGAUCUGAUAGUGAUUGAAAAAUGUGUGCGCAGUAAAACAAUUGAUGAGUAUGAAUUUAAUUUUAUUCCUAUCUGGGUCAGAGUUUAUGGUAUUCUCAUGGGCAUGAUGAGUUCCGAAACAGGAGAAUUGAUUGGGAAGAAUAUUGCAAAAGUACUUGACAUUGACCUUGAUCAUGGUGGAACUGCGAUGGGCGAGUUUAUGAGAAUUAAGGUACGGGUGGAUAUCACAGUUUUUGAGAAGCGGCUCCCUCCCUCCGCGUCGUCUCCCGCGAGGCGGCCCGGAGGCCAACCCCAACCCUCGCCGCCGCUCCCUCCUCCCCCCUCCUCCUCCCUCGCCGCCGCCCGGGGGCGCGGCCGGGCGAAGCCCUGCUGUUGCCGGCGGCGGCGGGGCCCCUUUGUCUCCCCGCUCGGGCGGUGCUGGCGCGGGCCGGCGCCCCGGGCCGAGUCAUAG
rnacentral:rRNA from 1 species